rnacentral:lncRNA from 1 species
UAUGAGAAAAAAUAAGUGAAUAGAUUUUUGCUUCCUUAUUGUACGAGUCUUUAUGAACAUAUGUGUAAUAUCUCAAUAGUCCCACAUCGGAUGAAAAACGAUAUUAUGAUUGGAUAUGCAAGAGACCAUUGAUCAUAAUAAUAAUAACUGGGUUUAAGUAUUUUAGGCUAGUAGUUUGGGCUCAACGAAUAAUUAUUGCUAGCGGGUAAGGUUGGUACUUUUGAUAUCAGAGUCAAUUUAUUGGCCGAAAGUGUGAGGUGGGCCGCACAUCCUCUGGUGAUCUUAGACCGAAAGUGUGAGAUAGGUCUCACAUCGCUGGAUGAUUUUACGUUGCUUGUAUGAUAGAAUUGAUGAGGACAUCAGGACCUUUGAUUAGAUAUAUAACAAAUCACAGAUCCUAGUAAUAAUAAUUAGACCUGGAUAGAAACGGAGCUAUGAUUAAAUAUAUAAGAGAUUAUAGACCUUAAUAAUAAUAAUAAUUGAGUUAAAACAUUGUGGGCCGGUGGUUUGGGCCUAACGAAUUAUUAUUGUUAGAGGAUUUGGUCUUUACAUUUUGAGAU